rnacentral:lncRNA from 1 species
UCAAUUCAUUCAUUUGGGAGGAGAUGAAGUGGAAUUUAAAUGUUGGGAAUCAAAUCCAAAAAUUCAAGAUUUCAUGAGGCAAAAAGGCUUUGGCACAGAUUUUAAGAAACUAGAAUCUUUCUACAUUCAAAAGUAAGUUGUUUGAAAGCCUAUUUCUGUAUUAAUGCUUUUUGUAAAAGUUUAUUUAGUAAUGUGCUUUAUUUUUUACAUUUUCUCUACAUCCUUUGCCUAAGUGUAGAUGUGAAAAAUCACUAAAGGAGGCAAUACCCACUGCUUGCUUUAAAUCAG